rnacentral:sRNA from 1 species
UUUUAGCCCAGAUGGAAACGAAAACCCCGGAGUUAGGAAAGUUAUUUUUUCUUGGUGUAAAAGAGCGACCAAAGGAAGCUCCUUUUAUGCCUUAGAAAAACAACUUGAAUAACGAGGAGUUGCAGUGUACAGCUGGAAUUGCU